AUGAACGCUGGCGGCGUGCCUAAUACAUGCCAGUCGAGCGAACAGACGAGGAGCUUGCUCCUCUGACGUUAGCGGCGGACGGGUGAGUAACAAGUGGAUAACCUACCUAUAAGAAUGGGAUAAAUUCGGGAAACCGGAGCUAAUACCGGAUAAUAUAUUGAACCGCAUGGUUCAAUAGUGAAAGACGGUUUUGCUGUCAUUUAUAGAUGGAUCCGCGCCGCAUUAGCUAGUUGGUAAGGUAACGGCUUACCAAGGCAACGAUGAGUAGACGACCUGAGAGGGUGAUCGACCACACUGGAACUGAGACACAGUCCAGACUCCUACGGGACGCAUCAGUAUAGCAUCUUCCCCAAUGGCCAAAAGCCUUACGCACCAACGCCCCGUGAGUGAUGAAGGUCUUCUGAUCGUAAAACUCUGUUAUUAGGGAAAAACCAAUCUGUAAGUAACUAUUCACGUCUUAACGGUACCUAAUCAGAAAGCCACGGCUAACUACGUG
rnacentral:rRNA from 1 species